rnacentral:rRNA from 1 species
AAUGAACGCUGGCGGCGUGGAUAAGACAUGCAAGUCGAACGAGAAUACUGAUUAGUUUACUAAGAUGUAUUUUAGUGGCGGACGGGUUAGUAACACGUGAGCAACAUGCCUUAAAGUGGGGGAUAGCCUUCCGAAAGGGAGAUUAAUACCGCAUGUGGUCUUCGGAUCAAAGACGCCUUUGGGUGUCGCUUUAAGAUUGGCUCGCGGCCUAUCAGCUAGAUGGUGAGGUAACGGCUCACCAUGGCAACGACGGGUAGCUGGUCUGAGAGGACGAUCAGCAACACUGGAACUGAGACACGGUCCAG